ensembl:lncRNA novel transcript
CCAGAGAAGAUUUCAUCAUCGGAUGCAAAAACAGAUCCAGAACAUAAUGUUAUUUACAUGAUUACCAUAGGGAAAGCCAUAUUUUGUCCAUCUCAAAAAGCAAUCAAUUUUAUCUUCAGCUUCUGUUAUUAAUUCUUAUGACGAAAAUGACAUCCGUCAUUCCAAACCUCUGCUAGUUCAGAUGGAUUGCAAUUAUAAUGGAUAUGUUGCGGGUAUUCCAAAUUCUCUUGUGACUCUCAGCGUAUGUUCAGGACUCAGGGGAACAAUGCAGCUGAAAAACAUCUCAUAUGGAAUUGAACCGAUGGAGGCUGUAUCAGGAUUUAUACACAAGAUUUAUGAAGAAAAAUAUGCUGACACUAAUAUUCUCUUAGAAGAAAAUGACACUUAUACUUGGUUUAAUUCAGAGUAUCAAGUCAGAAAAAGUUCAGAAGAGUGUCAGCAGCUAUAGUGAAGUUUCAAGAAGGGGGAAUGCUGUCGGGACUGAGCAGGCAAUGGCCUAAAAACAAUAAAAAGCCCUACU